rnacentral:rRNA from 1 species
AUUGAACGCUGGCGGCAGGCCUAACACAUGCAAGUCGAGCGGUAGAGAGGUGCUUGCACCUCUUGAGAGCGGCGGACGGGUGAGUAAUGCCUAGGAAUCUGCCUGGUAGUGGGGGAUAACGUCCGGAAACGGACGCUAAUACCGCAUACGUCCUACGGGAGAAAGCAGGGGACCUUCGGGCCUUGCGCUAUCAGAUGAGCCUAGGUCGGAUUAGCUAGUUGGUGAGGUAAUGGCUCACCAAGGCGACGAUCCGUAACUGGUCUGAGAGGAUGAUCAGUCACACUGGAACUGAGACACGGUCCAGACUCCUACGGGAGGCAGCAGUGGGGAAUAUUGGACAAUGGGCGAAAGCCUGAUCCAGCCAUGCCGCGUGUGUGAAGAAGGUCUUCGGAUUGUAAAGCACUUUAAGUUGGGAGGAAGGGUACUUACCUAAUACGUGAGUAUUUUGACGUUACCGACAGAAUAAGCACCGGCUAACUCUGUGCCAGCAGCCGCGGUAACAC